rnacentral:rRNA from 1 species
GAUGAACGCUAGCUACAGGCUUAACACAUGCAAGUCGAGGGGCAUCAGGAAGGAAGCUUGCUUUCUUCGCUGGCGACCGGCGCACGGGUGAGUAACACGUAUCCAACCUGCCGAUGACUCGGGGAUAGCCUUUCGAAAGAAAGAUUAAUACCCGAUGGCAUAGUUCUUCCGCAUGGUAGGACUAUUAAAGAAUUUCGGUCAUCGAUGGGGAUGCGUUCCAUUAGCUUGGUGGCGGGGUAACGGCCCACCAAGGCAUCGAUGGAUAGGGGUUCUGAGAGGAAGGUCCCCCACAUUGGAACUGAGACACGGUCCAA